rnacentral:rRNA from 1 species
UGCAGUCGAGCGGUAGUGCUGGUGCUUGGCUCUCGCUUGACGAGUGACGGACGGGUGAUGCAUGUCUGGCUGACUGCCUGAGGGGGGGGGCUUCCUACUGGGGACGGUAAUACCUACCACAUCCUACCGGAGAAACCAAGAGGGGGAUUGUGACCUUGCUUGCCUUCAUAAGCCCCCAUAUGAUAAUCUAUUUGGUGUGGGGAAGGCCUUCCCCUGCGACAAUAUGCCUAGCUGGUGAGAGGAUGAUACCCCCCACUGUGGCUGUGACACGGCCCCCACACUCCUACGGGGCGCCACUGGGGAAAAUUGUGCAAUGUGGGGAACCCUGUGAUGCCCAUGUGCCGUGUGUGAAGAAGGCGCCUUGGUUGUGAAGCACUUUUCCGAGGAGAAGGCUCUUUUGGUUAAUAUAACCUUUGAGUGGACGUUACUCGCAGAAUAAGCACCGGGCUAACUCUGUGCCAGCAGCCGCGGUAAUACAGGAGGGGUGCAAGCGUUAAUCGGAUUUACUGGGGCGUAAAGCGCGCGUAGGCGGUCAAUCAAGUCAAAUGUGAAAAUCCCCGAGCUUAACCUGGGAAUUGCAUUCCGAUACUGGUUGGCUAGAGUGUGGGAGAGGAUGGUAGAAUUCCAGGUGUAGCGGUGAAAUGCGUAGAGAUCUGGAGGAAUACCGAUGGCGAAGCGGCCUCUGGACUAACACUGACGCUCAGGUGCGAAAGCGUGGGGAGCAAACAGGAUUAGAUACCCUGGUAGUCCACGCCGUAAACGAUGUCUAUUAGGAGGUUGUGCCUUUGAGGCUUGACUUCCGCAGCUAACGCGAUAAAUAGACCGCCUGGGGAGUACGGUCGCAAGGUUAAAACUCAAAUGAAUUGACGGGGGCCCGCACAAGCGGUGGAGCAUGUGGUUUAAUUCGAUGCAACGCGAAGAACCUUACCUGGUCUUGACAUACUCGGAACUUUGCAGAGAUGGAUUGGUGCCUUCGGGAAUUUUCAUACAGGUGCUGCAUGGCUGUCGUCAGCUCGUGUUGUGAAAUGUUGGGUUAAGUCCCGCAACGAGCGCAACCCUUUUCCUUUGUUGCCAGCAUUUCGGCUGGGAACUCAAAGGAUACUGCCAGUGACAAACUGGAGGAAGCGGGGAUGACGUCAAGUCAUCAUGGCCCUUACGACCAGGGCUACACACGUGCUACAAUGGUCGGUACAAAGGGAAGCUACCUAGCGAUAGCAAGCUAAUCUCAAUAAACCGAUCGUAGUCCGGAUUGGAGUCU